rnacentral:rRNA from 1 species
CCGGUGACAAACCGGAGGAAGGUGGGGAUGACGUCAAGUCAGCAUGCCCCUUACGUCCUGGGCUACACACGUACUACAAUGGUAGGGACAGAGGGCAGCCAACCCGCGAGGGCGAGCUAAUCCCGUAAACCCUGCCUCAGUUCAGAUUGCAGGCUGCAACUCGCCUGCAUGAAGGCGGAAUCGCUAGUAAUCGCAGAUCAGCACGCUGCGGUGAAUACGUUCCCGGGCCUUGUACACACCGCCCGUCACACCAUGGGAGUUGGCCACGCCCGAAGUCGUUACUCUAACCUUUCGAGGAGGAGGACGCCGAAGGCAGGGCUGAUGACUGGGGUGAAGUCGUAACAAGGUAGCCGUACCGGAAGGUGUGGCUGGAUCACCUCCUUUUAGGGAGA